UCAAGUGAAGAAGCGCAUACGGUGGAUGCCUUGGCAGUCAGAGGCGAUGAAAGACGUGGUAGCCUGCGAAAAGCUUCGGGGAGUCGGCAAACAGACUUUGAUCCGGAGAUCUCUGAAUGGGGGAACCCACCUAGGAUAACCUAGGUAUCUUGUACUGAAUCCAUAGGUGCAAGAGGCGAACCAGGGGAACUGAAACAUCUAAGUACCCUGAGGAAAAGAAAUCAACCGAGAUUCCCUUAGUAGUGGCGAGCGAACGGGGAUUAGCCCUUAAGCUUCAUUGAUUUUAGCGGAACGCUCUGGAAAGUGCGGCCAUAGUGGGUGAUAGCCCCGUACGCGAAAGGAUCUUUGAAGUGAAAUCGAGUAGGACGGAGCACGAGAAACUUUGUCUGAACAUGGGGGGACCAUCCUCCAAGGCUAAAUACUACUGACUGACCGAUAGUGAACCAGUACCGUGAGGGAAAGGCGAAAAGAACCCCGGAGAGGGGAGUGAAAUAGAACCUGAAACCGUAUGCGUACAAGCAGUGGGAGCCUACUUGUUAGGUGACUGCGUACCUUUUGUAUAAUGGGUCAGCGACUUAUAUUCAGUGGCAAGCUUAACCGUAUAGGGUAGGCGUAGCGAAAGCGAGUCUUAAUAGGGCGUUUAGUCGCUGGGUAUAGACCCGAAACCGGGCGAUCUAUCCAUGAGCAGGUUGAAGGUUAGGUAACACUGACUGGAGGACCGAACCCACUCCCGUUGAAAAGGUAGGGGAUGACUUGUGGAUCGGAGUGAAAGGCUAAUCAAGCUCGGAGAUAGCUGGUUCUCCUCGAAAGCUAUUUAGGUAGCGCCUCAUGUAUCACUCUGGGGGGUAGAGCACUGUUUCGGCUAGGGGGUCAUCCCGACUUACCAAACCGAUGCAAACUCCGAAUACCCAGAAGUGCCGAGCAUGGGAGACACACGGCGGGUGCUAACGUCCGUCGUGAAAAGGGAAACAACCCAGACCGCCAGCUAAGGUCCCAAAGUUGUGGUUAAGUGGUAAACGAUGUGGGAAGGCUUAGACAGCUAGGAGGUUGGCUUAGAAGCAGCCACCCUUUAAAGAAAGCGUAAUAGCUCACUAGUCGAGUCGGCCUGCGCGGAAGAUGUAACGGGGCUCAAACCACACACCGAAGCUGCGGGUGUCACGUAAGUGACGCGGUAGAGGAGCGUUCUGUAAGCCUGUGAAGGUGAGUUGAGAAGCUUGCUGGAGGUAUCAGAAGUGCGAAUGCUGACAUGAGUAACGACAAUGGGUGUGAAAACCCCCCACGCCGAAAGACCAAGGGUUCCUGCGCAACGUUAAUCGACGCAGGGUUAGUCGGUUCCUAAGGCGAGGCUGAAAAGCGUAGUCGAUGGGAAACAGGUUAAUAUUCCUGUACUUCUGGUUACUGCGAUGGAGGGACGGAGAAGGCUAGGCCAGCUUGGCGUUGGUUGUCCAAGUUUAAGGUGGUAGGCUGAAAUCUUAGGUAAAUCCGGGGUUUCAAGGCCGAGAGCUGAUGACGAGUCGUCUUUUAGAUGACGAAGUGGUUGAUGCCAUGCUUCCAAGAAAAGCUUCUAAGCUUCAGGUAACCAGGAACCGUACCCCAAACCGACACAGGUGGUCGGGUAGAGAAUACCAAGGCGCUUGAGAGAACUCGGGUGAAGGAACUAGGCAAAAUGGCACCGUAACUUCGGGAGAAGGUGCGCCGGCUAGGGUGAAGGAUUUACUCCGUAAGCUCUGGCUGGUCGAAGAUACCAGGCCGCUGCGACUGUUUAUUAAAAACACAGCACUCUGCAAACACGAAAGUGGACGUAUAGGGUGUGACGCCUGCCCGGUGCCGGAAGGUUAAUUGAUGGGGUUAGCGCAAGCGAAGCUCUUGAUCGAAGCCCCGGUAAACGGCGGCCGUAACUAUAACGGUCCUAAGGUAGCGAAAUUCCUUGUCGGGUAAGUUCCGACCUGCACGAAUGGCGUAACGAUGGCGGCGCUGUCUCCACCCGAGACUCAGUGAAAUUGAAAUCGCUGUGAAGAUGCAGUGUAUCCGCGGCUAGACGGAAAGACCCCGUGAACCUUUACUGUAGCUUUGCACUGGACUUUGAGCCUGCUUGUGUAGGAUAGGUGGGAGGCUUUGAAGCGUGGACGCCAGUUCGCGUGGAGCCAUCCUUGAAAUACCACCCUGGCAUGCUUGAGGUUCUAACUCUGGUCCGUAAUCCGGAUCGAGGACAGUGUAUGGUGGGCAGUUUGACUGGGGCGGUCUCCUCCUAAAGAGUAACGGAGGAGUACGAAGGUGCGCUCAGACCGGUCGGAAAUCGGUCGUAGAGUAUAAAGGCAAAAGCGCGCUUGACUGCGAGACAGACACGUCGAGCAGGUACGAAAGUAGGUCUUAGUGAUCCGGUGGUUCUGUAUGGAAGGGCCAUCGCUCAACGGAUAAAAGGUACUCCGGGGAUAACAGGCUGAUACCGCCCAAGAGUUCAUAUCGACGGCGGUGUUUGGCACCUCGAUGUCGGCUCAUCACAUCCUGGGGCUGAAGCCGGUCCCAAGGGUAUGGCUGUUCGCCAUUUAAAGUGGUACGCGAGCUGGGUUUAGAACGUCGUGAGACAGUUCGGUCCCUAUCUGCCGUGGACGUUUGAGAUUUGAGAGGGGCUGCUCCUAGUACGAGAGGACCGGAGUGGACGAACCUCUGGUGUUCCGGUUGUCACGCCAGUGGCAUUGCCGGGUAGCUAUGUUCGGAAAAGAUAACCGCUGAAAGCAUCUAAGCGGGAAACUUGCCUCAAGAUGAGAUCUCACUGGGAACUUGAUUCCCCUGAAGGGCCGUCGAAGACUACGACGUUGAUAGGCUGGGUGUGUAAGCGUUGUGAGGCGUUGAGCUAACCAGUACUAAUUGCCCGUGAGGCUUGACCAU
rnacentral:rRNA from 1 species